GUUAAAUAAUUGAUUAAUCAAUAAUAGUCAACUUUGCUUAUAAAAAAUAUUAUUUAAUUCCAUCAAUAUAUAUUGGAAAUAUCGAUGUAUAUAUAAGUCUUAUAUCCGGUGAAACAGUAAAAAGGAUCUGUUUGUUUACUAUACAGUGAAAAGCAGCACGUGGAAUUCAUGUUUAACUUGUAAAAUAAAUAAGUGAUCGUUUGUUUAAAUUUGUAAUAAAAUGGAGCAAUUUGAAUUAAGUAUAUGGAAAGGUGAUUGGGGUUUACCAUCAAUAGACCCAGAAUGUUUACAAGUUUUGGUUUAUGCUAAAUUUAGUAAUAUAGCUUUAAAAAUAAAUAAGUCUAGUAAUUUAUUCAAAACACCCAAUGGCCGAUUACCUGUAUUAAAAAGUAAUAACAUUACGUUAGAUAAAGUUAAAGAUAUAAUAGGCUAUCUUAGAGAAAACCAUUAUAACACAGAAUACACAUUAAAGCGAAAAGAAUGUGCAAAAAUACUAGCCUAUGAUGUAAUGUUGAAACAAAAAUUAUUUCCAGCAUUACAAUUUAUUUGGUGGGUAGAUCAAAGAAAUCUAAAUGAAUUAAUAAGGCCAUGGUACUGUAAAGCAAUUCCUUUCCCAUUCAAUUUUUAUUACCCAUCAAAAUUUGAACAAGAAGCUCGCUCAAUGUUUGAAGCUUUGUAUGCCAGAGAAGAUGAUAUGGCUGCCAUAGAAUAUAAGGUAUAUUCUGAAGCACGAAAAUGUUUAACAAUGUUGUCUGAAAGUCUUGGAGAUUCAAACUAUUUUUUUGGUUCUGAACCUACUGAACUAGAUGCCAUUGUGUAUUCUUACUUGGCACCAUUACUUAAAGUUCCUUUACCUAAUCCAGCUUUACAAAAUCAUUUAAAGGACUGCAAAAAUUUAGUAAGCUUCAUAGCACGUAUAUCGGAAAGAUGUUUCAGCCACGACUGUCAAGAAUAUAAAGCCAAAGAAACAGCAGAAAGUAUGGGAAAUUAUUCAGAAGGUGAAUUCCCUCAUAAAAGAAGAAAUCAAAUCCUUGCUGGACUUUUUACAGUUUUGGCAAUGACAUCUUAUGUACUUUCAACUGGAAUAAUAAAGAAAUGGAAGCUGGCGGGAAUUCGUUUAAAAAAAAUAAUUAGUUAGAAUUCAGGGUUUUCUCUGUAUUUAUGGCCUUUUAUUUAAAAUAAGAAGAAAUUGUGUGUAUCAAUAAAGGAGGAUGAAAUUACGGAUUUACGUACAAAAGAUAUAAUUGACGAUGAAUAACAUAAUUCGGGAAACAUAAAGUCAGUUCAUUGAAAAGAUUAGUUUUAAAGAUAAGAUUGAUAUAAUUUUUAUUUUUUCUUAUUACUACAGUUCUUUCUUUCAAGUUGUUAUCAGCAAAAUGUAAUUAUUAUCAAAGAAUAUAAUUAUGUAAUGAUUAAUUAUAAU